AUCCCUGAAAAGUCAGGAGGAGCCAGGCUGCAAGGGCAGCCUCUCUGCACCCACUGCCCCCAGCAUAAACAUUGAAGAAUUCCUGAAAAGUCAGGAAGAGCCAGGCUGCAAGGGCGGCCCCUCUGCACCCACUGCCCCUAGCAUAGACAUUGAAGAAUUCCUGAAAAGUCAGGAAUAUCUCUGUCAUCUGUGUUAUGUUUCUGUUUCAUUUUCAGCCUGUGUAUAGCAGAAUGUAUAAGCAUAAAAUUCCAUUAUAGAUUUAGGGACCUUUGGACGGGGGGCGUCCUACUCAUAAUCCCCUGGUGAAAUCUCGGGUAGGGACAGCCCGUGUGUUACUUGGGGAUCAACAUGAAGUUGUCUUAGGGGAAAAACAAAUAGCUCGACUAUGGAAAACAAGAAUAGGAUGGUGAAAUCCUGGUAUUUACCAAGGCCCUUUUUUGUGAUUAAACCACCACCCACACAUGACCCCAUAAAAGUGGAAAAACAAAAGGCAGUGAGUUCUCUCAGCCAAUCUCUCAGCCAAUUACAGGUCAACUUUCUCGUCCACCCCGCUCACUGCUGCGCUUGACUGGUCUUUGGGUAUAGAGAUUGGGCUAAUUGUCCUUGGCAUAAUCGUGGACAAUAUGACGUAACCCAAAGUGGCUGGGCUUCAAGAACUUGACCACCCUGGACAAGAUGGACAAAGCCUAUGUAACAAUGAUUUUGCAAAAAGAUUAAUUGUUAUAAAAACUGUGGAAGGUAUUGCAAGAUUAAGCAUAAGUGUAAAGCAAUAUGAAGUCAAUUAUUAUUUUGUGUAAAAAUAUAUCAACAAAAUAUUCUCUUCAAUUAAACAAAAAACUCAUUGUACUUGUGUAUGUAUGCGGAACUGUACUAUGUGUCACUUGGAAAAUUAUGUCUCUGGGAAAUGAUGUUUAUGAUUAUAUCUUGUACUGCCCCUUUAUUGAUCAUGCGAUGUUAUGCUUUUGUAAGCUUAUGAUAUAAAAGACAAUGUAAAAAAUAAAGAGCAGAGGCUUCUUUUUCUGCAAAAUGAAAAUAUAAGACAUACUACCGCUCAUUCUUUUUCGCCGAACUCUACCCCUCCUCUGGUAACCCUGUUCAUUGCUGAGGCUGGCCCCCGGCAACUGGCGCCCGAACAGGGACCUGAAGGUAAGCAACGUCGUCUCGGGGUAGAUAGGGCUGUUGCCUAGAGCUAGAAAAGCUCCCUUUAGCCACCCCGUCGUUAGAGAGGACGGGGAUAGGAAAGGAAAGAUAGGCAAAACAUAUGAGAAGUUGUUAGACCCCUGUAUAAGCAGGAGAAUACUAGAAAAACACUAUGGGACAAACAUCCUCUGCAGAAAGGAAACUGUUUAUUGAUAUCAUCACGUGUAUGCUCAAAAAAAGGAGAACCGCAGUGACUAGAAGCCAAGUAGCUCGGUUUUUACAUUUUGUUCAGGAACAAUGCCCCUGGUUCCCAGAGGGAGGCUCGGUUAAUUUGGACAUAUGGAAAGCUGUGGGAGAACAGCUACAAAAACAUUAUACUAGAUGUGGUCCUGAGGGGGUGCCUGUUGAUGCUUUUGCAUUAUGGAUGCUUAUCAGAGAUACUCUUGACCCAACUCCCGAUUCUGUUAAAGCAUUCCAAGUACUAGACAAUCCUGACUCUGACCCCACUUUAGAGGAGGAAGAAACACCUCUGCUUCAGAAACAUCCUUCUGUAGCGUCUACCCCUUCAGCCCCUCCCUUUGUUGGUCUAUCUAAUCCAAUCACGAAUGACACUCUGAGCCCGGAGGAGCAAGUCGAUCUAGAGGAGGAGGCUGCUAGAUAUCAUCAGGAUGAGGAUAUUGUUCUUCCUUUACGAAAGUUGCAAAUUGAGUCACAGCCUCCAAAGUAUGAGGUUAAAUCAUUGACCUUUACUCCUUGAAAUAGAGUACCUUUACCUCCCCCACCUCCUUCUCUGGCAGGAAAAUCAAAAAUCAAAGCAGCCUUAAAACAAGGCUUGUCUGAGGGGGACGUUACCCUCCCUUUGUGCUUUCCAGUACAUUAUAGCGGGGAAUUUGAUGAGGAUGCAGAAUGGACUCCUCUUUCUUAUAAAUUCCUCAAGGAGGUUAAAAAUGCCUGCAAAGAAUAUGGACCCCUGUCUCCAUACACAUUGUCGUUAAUAGAUAUUCUGUCAACCAGCUGGAUGAUUCCUUAUGAUUGGUAUCAGCUGGCAAAAACCUGCUUACCAGGGGGUAGUUUCUUGUUAUGGAAAAUGGAAAAGACCUGACCCAUUAAUCUCUUGUGGAAGAGGCUAUGCUUGUGUUUUCCCACAGGACAAAACUUCCCCUUUGUGGAUACCCGACAGACUCAUCGGACAUGCAAGACCCAAAAACCACCAAAAAUCCUCCAACACUUCUUCCCUCACUGCUCACAAACCUAACACCUCCCACGACUCUUCUGAGAAAUCUGUCUCUUGAAAAUGCUCCAUCUACACCCCCACCUUCGCCUGUCUCUAGUUCCUCCUCUUCAUCUUCUACUCCACCCCUUCUCGCUGACUUUAUACAACCCUCUACAAACCUCAACAACUCUUCAUCUCGAGACAAGGUGCGGUGGAGAAGCCGGAGACAUACUCCCUAUUCAAGAACCCAUCAAACCAUUGCGGCUGAGCCCCCAACUUGGGGCCAACUCAAAAAACUUACUCAUCUGGCUCACACCUUAACCGUGGAUCAACAUAUUCCCGUAAAUGCGGGUACUCUUUUUGUGGCAAUGCUCGCUAUCAUUUCCUGUCAGUCAUCUUCCGAAUCUUAAAUCAAGCUAUCCAAAAGGUGGCUUCAGAUCUUCAUCUAGCGAAAUUAAAAAAUAAAAAAGGGGGAGAUGCUGGGAGCCAGGCUGCAAGGGCGGCCCCUCUGCACCCACUGCCCCCAGCAUAAACACCAAAGAAUCCCUGAAAAGUCAGGAGGAGCCAGGCUGCAAGGGCAGCCUCUCUGCACCCACUGCCCCCAGCAUAAACAUUGAAGAAUUCCUGAAAAGUCAGGAAGAGCCAGGCUGCAAGGGCGGCCCCUCUGCACCCACUGCCCCUAGCAUAGACAUUGAAGAAUUCCUGAAAAGUCAGGAAUAUCUCUGUCAUCUGUGUUAUGUUUCUGUUUCAUUUUCAGCCUGUGUAUAGCAGAAUGUAUAAGCAUAAAAUUCCAUUAUAGAUUUAGGGACCUUUGGACGGGGGCCGUCCUACUCAUAAUCCCCUGGUGAAAUCUCGGGUAGGGACAGCCCGUGUGUUACUUGGGGAUCAACAUGAAGUUGUCUUAGGGGAAAAACAAAUAGCUCGACUAUGGAAAACAAGAAUAGGAUGGUGAAAUCCUGGUAUUUACCAAGGCCCUUUUUUGUGAUUAAACCACCACCCACACAUGACCCCAUAAAAGUGGAAAAACAAAAGGCAGUGAGUUCUCUCAGCCAAUCUCUCAGCCAAUUACAGGUCAACUUUCUCGUCCACCCCGCUCACUGCUGCGCUUGACUGGUCUUUGGGUAUAGAGAUUGGGCUAAUUGUCCUUGGCAUAAUCGUGGACAAUAUGACGUAACCCAAAGUGGCUGGGCUUCAAGAACUUGACCACCCUGGACAAGAUGGACAAAGCCUAUGUAACAAUGAUUUUGCAAAAAGAUUAAUUGUUAUAAAAACUGUGGAAGGUAUUGCAAGAUUAAGCAUAAGUGUAAAGCAAUAUGAAGUCAAUUAUUAUUUUGUGUAAAAAUAUAUCAACAAAAUAUUCUCUUCAAUUAAACAAAAAACUCAUUGUACUUGUGUAUGUAUGCGGAACUGUACUAUGUGUCACUUGGAAAAUUAUGUCUCUGGGAAAUGAUGUUUAUGAUUAUAUCUUGUACUGCCCCUUUAUUGAUCAUGCGAUGUUAUGCUUUUGUAAGCUUAUGAUAUAAAAGACAAUGUAAAAAAUAAAGAGCAGAGGCUUCUUUUUCUGCAAAAUGAAAAUAUAAGACAUACUACCGCUCAUUCUUUUUUCGCCGAACUCUACCCCUCCUCUGGUAACCCUGUUCAUUGCUGAGGCUGGCCCCCGGCAACUGGCGCCCGAACAGGGACCUGAAGGUAAGCAACGUCGUCUCGGGGUAGAUAGGGCUGUUGCCUAGAGCUAGAAAAGCUCCCUUUAGCCACCCCGUCGUUAGAGAGGACGGGGAUAGGAAAGGAAAGAUAGGCAAAACAUAUGAGAAGUUGUUAGACCCCUGUAUAAGCAGGAGAAUACUAGAAAAACACUAUGGGACAAACAUCCUCUGCAGAAAGGAAACUGUUUAUUGAUAUCAUCACGUGUAUGCUCAAAAAAAGGGGAACCGCAGUGACUAGAAGCCAAGUAGCUCGGUUUAAUUGAUCUACUUCCGAUUGUGUUAGUUUAGGUAGGUAGUGUGUUUCUAGGAAUUCAUCCAUUUCUUUAGGUUUUCCAAAUUUGUUAGAGCACAAUUUUUCAUAGUAAUCUGAUGUGAUUCAUUUAAUUUCAGUUGGUUCUGUUGUGAUAUGGCCCAUUUCAUUUCUCAUCCAGGUUAUUUGUUUCCUUUCCUGUAUUUCUUUAGUCAGUCUGGCCAAUGGUUUAUCAAUUUUGUUAAUUUUUUCAAAGAACCAGCUUUUGACUUUGUUAAUUCUUUCAAUUGUUUUUCUGUUUUUUAAUUCAUUUAAUUCUGCUCUAGUUUUUAUUUUUUCUGGUGCCUGAUGGAUUCUUUUGUUUCUUGCUUUCUAUUUGUUCAAGUUGUAGGGACAUUUCUCUGAUUUUGGCUCUUCCUUCUUUAUGUAUGUGUGCAUUUAUUGAUAUAAAUUGACCUCUGAGCACUGCUUUCACUGUGUCCCAGAGGCUUUGAUAGGAAGUGUUUCAGUCUCGUUGCCUUCUAUGAAUGUCCUUAUUCCCUCCUUAAUGUCUUCUAUAACCCAGUCUUUUUUGAGCAGGGUAUUAUUCAGUUUCCACGUAUUUGAUUUCUUUUCCCUGAUUUCAGACUUUCGCUUUUUGAUGUCUUCAAUUAAAUAGUGCUAUUUGUUAUAUAAUACCGAUUGA